CCAAUAGCGUAUAUUAAAGUUGCUGCAGUUAAAAAGCUCGUAGUUGAAUUUCGGGAUCGAUGUAUCGGUCGUGCCUCGGUACGUACUGGUAUCUUCGGUUUCUCCCUUCUGACGAACCUUGAUGUCAUUAAUUUGGUGUCUUGGGGAAUCAGGACUGUUACUUUGAAAAAAUUAGAGUGUUUAAAGCAGGCUCACGCUUG
rnacentral:rRNA from 1 species